rnacentral:rRNA from 1 species
ACGGGGUGCAGCAGGCGCGAAAACUUCGCAAUGCGCGAAAGCGCGAUGAGGGAAUCCCAAGUGCUUGCACGUAAGUGUAAGCUGUUUCUAUGUCUAAAACGCAUAGAGAGUAAGAGCUGGGUAAGACGGGUGCCAGCCGCCGCGGUAAUACCUGCAGCUCGAGUGGUGGCCGCUAUUAUUGGGCCUAAAACGUCCGUAGCCGGCUUAUUAAAUGCCCGGGUAAAUUGUACGGCUCAACCGUACGAAUUCCGGGUAGACUGAUAGGCUUGGGACCGGGAGAAGCUAGAGGUACUCCUGGGGUAGAGGUGAAAUUCUGUAAUCCUAGGGGGACCACCAGUGGCGAAGGCGUCUAGCUAGAACGGGUUUGACGGUGAGGGACGAAGCCCUGGGGAGCAAACGGGAUUAGAUACCCCGGUAGUUCAGGGUGUAAACGCUGCUUGCUUGAUGUUAGUCGGGCUCCGAGCCCGAUUAGUGUCGGAGAGAAGUUGUUAAGCAAGCUGCCUGGGAAGUACGGCCGCAAGACCGAAACUUAAAGGAAUUGGCGGGGGAGCA